AGCGAACGCUGGCGGCAUGCCUAACACAUGCAAGUCGAACGGGGCAGCAAUGCCUAGUGGCGGACGGGUGAGGAAUACGUAGGAAUCUGCCCUUAAGUGGGGGAUAACCAGGGGAAACCCUGACUAAUACCGCAUGAUCUCUUCGGAGCAAAGAGGGGGACCGCAAGGCCUCUCGCUUCUGGAUGAGCCUGCGUCUGAUUAGCUAGUUGGUAGGGUAAAGGCCUACCAAGGCGACGAUCAGUAACUGGUCUGAGAGGAUGAUCAGUCACACCGGAACUGAGACACGGUCCGGACUCCGACGGGAGGCAGCAGUGGGGAAUAUUGGACAAUGGGCGCAAGCCUGAUCCAGCAAUGCCGCGUGUGUGAAGAAGGCCUUCGGGUUGUAAAGCACUUUAGCCUGGAAAGAAAAAACUUUGGUUAACACCCAAAGUCUUGACGGUACCAGGAGAAUAAGCACCGGCUAACUCUGUGCCAGCCGCCGCGGUAAUAC
rnacentral:rRNA from 1 species